rnacentral:misc_RNA from 1 species
GAUGAAGAACGUAGCGAAUUGCGAUAAGUAAUGUGAAUUGCAGAUUUUCAGUGAAUCAUCGAAUCUUUGAACGCACAUUGCGCCCUUUGGUAUUCCAAAGGGCAUGCCUGUUCGAGCGUCAUUUGUACCCUCAAGCUUUGCUUGGUGUUGGGCGUCUUGUCUCUAGCUUUGCUGGAGACUCGCCUUAAAGUAAUUGGCAGCCGGCCUACUGGUUUCGGAGCGCAGCACAAGUCGCACUCUCUAUCAGCAAAGGUCUAGCAUCCAUUAAGCCUUUUUUUCAACUUUUGACCUCGGAUCAGGUAGGGAUACCCGCUGAACUUAAGCAUAUCAAUAAGCGGAGGU